AUUAAUUAAAUAAAAGCUUAUAUAAUCGCUAUGAUAUGGUUAGCAAGUUUCUACCCGAUGCCGUAAAUUUUCGGACUAUGAGCAUUUUUUUAUU
rnacentral:ncRNA from 1 species